UAAACAAAAAAGGCAAUAGGACAAACACGUAAUGAGAGCGUAGAGAGCGAUGAAGAAAACGAUGAAAGAUUGGGCAAAGGAAUAGGGAAUCAGGACAAACCCGUAAUGAGAGCGUAGAGAGUGAUGAAGAAAACGAUGAAAGAUUGGACAGGGGAAUAUGGAAUCACAAUAAGAUUUAUAUACAAAACAAAAAAACAAGUUUAAAAAAAUUUCUUUUUACAAAAAAGAAAAUAGGACAAACAGGUAAUGUAGAAAGCGAAGAAGAAUACGAUGGAAGAUGGGACAGAGGAAUAGGGAGUCAGAAAAUAGAACAAUCAGAUAACGAGAGCGUACAAAGCGAAGAAGAAAACUUUGAAAUAUGGGGGGGGAAUGGGGGAACAGGUAACAAAUAUAUACAAAAUAGAAUUCAAAUUUCAAAUAUUGUUUGUUACAACACAAUAAGGGUACAAGGCAAACAGAUAAUGAGACUUUACAAAACGAAAAAGUAGACGAGGAAGGAAGGAGAAAAGAAAUGGGAAAACAGGGAAGGUAAGGAAGGAAAUUAUAUUGUCACGGGAAUUUUUACAAAGGGCAUGAAUUAACAAAUCUGACGAAAACUCAACCAAUAGUGAUUGUCCGGCUCUUUGCUGCUUGAACAAUAAGGCAGUCAAUUUGCCUAACUUCCACUAAUUGGCGAAAACACGGCCAAAGAGUGGAUCAAACUAAACACUGCCAAAAAAGAACAAGAUCAAAAAAAGUUCCAUGCGUACACUCGGACGAACAUGCAGAAUCUGAGUCUAGUAGGUCUUCCAAUUUUUCUAAAGAGGUGAAGGUUAAUGGAUUUCUGGGUUCAACAUUAGAAUUCUGGGUACAAUCAUUAAUUAAGGGUUUCUGGGUAGUAAGGAAGGUCAUUCUCUGGAAAGAGCGAGAAUGACCUUGUGUAAAAGGCAUAGGAGUUAUCAAACCAAUAAUCUCAUGACAAUAUGAAACAGCACAAAACGAAGUUUACGACGAGGAAGGAAGGAGCAAAGGCAUGGGAAAACAGAAAAAAGAAGGAAGGGAACCAGAUAAUGAAACAAUACAAAACGAAGAAGAAGACGAGGAAGGAUGGGACAAAGAAAUAAAAAACGGAAAAAAGAAAGAAGGAAUCCGUCGACUGAGGCUGCUGAGGCCAGCGAGACUGCUGCUGCUGAAUCGUAUCAAAUCACGGUCAAAGCCAAUCGAUCAUUCGCGAACAGAACCGGGGCGGUUACGCGUUCAAAAUUGGUAACUGAAAAUAGAGAACCUAAAUUGGCACAAUUGCCUCAUGUAAAAAUAAAUCAUAAUAAGUCUGCCGUCAUCUAUCGCUCACCAGGAAAAAAGAACAGAAACAGGAAGAGGAGCAGGAAGAGGAGCAGGAAGAGGAACAGGAAGAAGAACAGGAAGAGGAUCAGGAACAGGUUCAGGAACAGGAACAGGAACAGGA